UACGUAUACCAAUUGAAAAAAGUAAUAUAACUUUGAAGAAAAAAAAAAAACAGAACCAAAGUUGUAGGCUUAUGUGUGUGUCUGGUUCUCAACUCUAAUCAUCAUAUUUUUUCAUUUCUCUAUCUUUAUAAUUGU
rnacentral:ribozyme from 13 species